rnacentral:rRNA from 2 species
AAGGCUUUCGGGUCGUAAAACUCUGUUGUUAGGGAAGAACAAGUACGAGAGUAACUGCUCGUACCUUGACGGUACCUAACCAGAAAGCCACGGCUAACUACGUGCCAGCAGCCGCGGUAAUACGUAGGUGGCAAGCGUUAUCCGGAAUUAUUGGGCGUAAAGCGCGCGCAGGCGGUUUCUUAAGUCUGAUGUGAAAGCCCACGGCUCAACCGUGGAGGGUCAUUGGAAACUGGGGAACUUGAGUGCAGAAGAGAAAAGCGGAAUUCCACGUGUAGCGGUGAAAUGCGUAGAGAUGUGGAGGAACACCAGUGGCGAAGGCGGCUU